rnacentral:tRNA from 1 species
GUUUUAGUAGCUUAAACUAUUUAAAGCCCUGGUUUUGUAAGCCAGAAAUGAGAUAUUAUCCUCCUAAAACA